UACGGGAGGCAGCAGUGGGGAAUAUUGCGCAAUGGGGGGAACCCUGACGCAGCCAUGCCGCGUGAAUGAAGAAGGCCUUCGGGUUGUAAAGUUCUUUCGGUAUUGAGGAAGGUUGAUGUGUUAAUAGCACAUCAAAUUGACGUUAAAUACAGAAGAAGCACCGGCUAACUCCGUGCCAGCAGCCGCGGUAAUACGGAGGGUGCGAGCGUUAAUCGGAAUAACUGGGCGUAAAGGGCACGCAGGCGGUUAUUUAAGUGAGGUGUGAAAGCCCCGGGCUUAACCUGGGAAUUGCAUUUCAGACUGGGUAACUAGAGUACUUUAGGGAGGGGUAGAAUUCCACGUGUAGCGGUGAAAUGCGUAGAGAUGUGGAGGAAUACCGAAGGCGAAGGCAGCCCCUUGGGAAUGUACUGACGCUCAUGUGCGAAAGCGUGGGGAGCAAACAGGAUUAGAUACCCUGGUAGUCCACGCUGUAAACGCUGUCGAUUUGGGGGUUGGGGUUUAACUCUGGCGCCCGUAGCUAACGUGAUAAAUCGACCGCCUGGAG
rnacentral:rRNA from 1 species